rnacentral:rRNA from 1 species
AGUCAAUAGAUACCCGGGUAGUCCACGCCGUAAACGAUGAGUACUAGGUGUAGGAGGUAUCGACUCCUUCUGUGCCGCAGUUAAACACAAUAAGUACUCCGCCUGGGAAGUACGGUCGCAAGAUUAAAAACUCAAAGGAAUUGACGGGGGCCCGCACAAGCAGCGGAGCAUGUGGUUUAAUUCGAAGCAACGCGAAGAACCUUACCUAGACUUGACAUCCCCUGAAUAACGUAGAGAUACGCGAAGCCCUUCGGGGCAGGGAGACAGGUGGUGCAUGGUUGUCGUCAGCUCGUGUCGUGAGAUGUUGGGUUAAGUCCCGCAACGAGCGCAACCCUUAUCAUUAGUUGCUACCAUUUAGUUGAGCACUCUAGUGAGACUGCCCGGGUUAACCGGGAGGAAGGCGGGGAUGACGUCAAAUCAUCAUGCCCCUUAUGUCUAGGGCUACACACGUGCUACAAUGGUGAGAACAACGAGAUGCAAUACCGCGAGGUGGAGCAAAACUUCAAAACUCAUCUCAGUCCGGAUUGUAGGCUGAAACUC